UAAAGGGAGCGUAGACGGUUUGGCAAGUCUGAAGUGAAAGCCCGGGGCUCAACCCCGGAAUUGCUUUGGAAACUGUUAGACUGGAGUGUCGGAGAGGUAAGUGGAAUUCCCAGUGUAGCGGUGAAAUGCGUAGAUAUUGGGAGGAACACCGGUGGCGAAGGCGGCUUACUGGACGAUAACUGACGUUGAGGCUCGAAGGCGUGGGGAGCAANCAGGAUUAGAUACCCUGGUAGUCCACGCGGUAAACGAUGAAUACUAGGUGUCGGGGAGAUUAACUCUUCGGUGCCGUCGCAAACGCAGUAAGCAUUCCACCUGGGGAGUACGUUCGCAAGAAUGAAACUCAAAGGAAUUGACGGGGACCCGCACAAGCGGUGGAGCAUGUGGUUUAAUUCGAAGCAACGCGAAGAACCUUACCAAGUCUUGACAUACCGAUGACGUCUCUUUAACAGGAGAGUUCCUUCGGGACAUCGGAUACAGGUGGUGCAUGGUUGUCGUCAGCUCGUGUCGUGGGAUGUUGGGUUAAGUCCCGCAACGAGCGCAACCCUUGUCCUUAGUAGCCAGCAGUAAGAUGGGCACUCUAGGGAGACUGCCGGGGAUAACCCGGAGGAAGGUGGGGAUGACGUCAAAUCAUCAUGCCCCUUAUGAUUUGGGCUACACACGUGCUACAAUGGCGUAAACAAAGAGGAGCGAACCUGCGAGGGGGAGCAAAUCUCAGAAGUAACGUCUCAGUUCGGAUUGUAGGCUGCAACUCGCCUACAUGAAGUCGGAAUCGCUAGUAAUCGCGAAUCAGAAUGUCGCGGUGAAUACGUUCCCGGGUCUUGUACACACCGCCCGUCACACCAUGGGAGUCAGCAAUGCCCGAA
rnacentral:rRNA from 1 species